UCCGUCUAUUACAUCAUAAUUACCUUCUGCGAGCUUCUCUGUCUCAAGGACAGAGAUACACAUACACUCUUUUGAAUUGAUGUGUUUUUGUGGUUAUGCAUAGUUUAGUUAUAUGCUUUAGUUUGUAAUUCAAUUUCUAAAUGUUUCUUUUCUCUGAUCCAACAGGAUCCAUUAAUGGAACUGCCUCUGUCAUCAUCCUUGUUAUGGUGAACAGGUUUCGAUUAUUUGCCUUCCCAAUUACUGGGGCUAUUGUCUUUGGGAAGAGUCUCGUCUGCGAUCAGAUUGCUGUGAAUAUUGAAGUACGCAACGUACUCUUCGCGCGAAGGAAGAAACGGAGGUUCAAAAACCUACUCAUACGGUGGCUAGCAUAGAUCCGAAGUUCCAUUUGUAACCAAAACAACUUUAGUGCUUCCUUGUUUUUAUUUCUUUUUGCCUCGGAAGCAUUCUUAGGAACGUUUGUUGUAACUUCCUC
rnacentral:lncRNA from 1 species